UGCAAGUCGAACGGCAGCGCGAACUUCGGUUUGGCGGCGAGUGCGAACGGUGAGUAUAUAUCGGAACGUACCAGUAGCGGGGAUAACUACUCGAAAGAGUAGCUAAUACCGCAUACGCCGUACGGGAAGGGGUGAUCGCAAGACCUCUCACUAUUGGAGCGGCCGAUAUCGGAUUAGCUAGUUGGUGGGGUAAAGGCUCACCAAGGCGACGAUCCGUAGCUGGUUUGAGAGGACGACCAGCCACACUGGGACUGAGACACGGCCCAGACUCC
rnacentral:rRNA from 1 species